rnacentral:lncRNA from 1 species
CUACCAGGGCAGUGUGAGGGAUUCGAGAAAAUAGUGGGAGUUACAUUUGUUCUAAAAGACCUUAGAAUAGAUUAGGAUCAAGUACAAAAGUCUAACUAGAAUCUUUACUCUCUGCAGAUACAAUGUCAGCUUCAAACCCUUUGACCCGUAUUCUUGAGACCAACCGACUGACCGGAACCAAUUACAAAGACUGGCUUAGUGAUGAGAGUACAAAAGUACGAUCUACAUACUACUUAAAUUGGUAUUAUUGCCAACGGAUGAUAAUAUUAUCACUAAUUUAAUAUUAUAUUUUUGAUUGGGUGCAGGUGAUCAUAAAUCAAAGUUACAAUGCGCAUUUAGUAUAAAUUGGGCCUAGACAAAUGCAUCACUCAGACCACAUACGCCCAACCUCGUCAUGGUCUGAUCGAACCCACCAUUCAUCAAGCACACUUGCACUCGAGGGAUAUAUGGCAGCCAUCCUAAGGCAACGCGCAAUGGGACAUCCGAGGGCUUAGGUUUAUCAAGUCGAGAAGAUCCAAAAGGAAGAAAGUGGCCACAUCAGCGAUCAUUCCGUGAUCAACGUGUCUCCUCCACGGCGUCCGAGCUUCUUCUCCCACGUGCAUCUCCAGCAUCCCGCGAUCACCUCCGAGCUCAGGAUCCCGCGCUUCUCACGCAAUCCAUCCCGCAGCCAGCUCUUCAGCCAUUCCUUUUCCGCGUGUGAGCCAGCGUCCAUUCCCAUUCUCGCGAUCAUCCCGGCAGCCGCAUCCCAUGCUUCCGAACUCAUAUCAGAUCCCGCAGCAUCCGUUUCUCCCGUGCCUCCCAGCCGUCCGCGAUCAGCUGCCGCGUCUGCGUCCCAGAGCUCCCAAUCUUCCUCGCAUCCCACGCGUCUUAGCUUCCUUCGGCAACCAUCCAGCACAUCAUCAGCGUUUCAAAGCUUCCGUGAUCACCUCCCAAGCAUC